rnacentral:rRNA from 1 species
AAAGUACUAAGCUCGGGGAUAAUAAUGACGGUACCCGAGUAAAAAGCCCUGACUAACUUCGUGCCAGCAGUCGCGGUAAAACGGAGAGGGCAAGUGUUAUUCGUAUUGACUGGGUGUAAAGGGUACGUAGGCGGUUAUUUAAGUUAUAAAAAAAGCUAUAUCUUUUUAUAAUACUAUAUGACUAGAGUUAAAAAGGGGAUGGCGGUACCUCCAGUUUAGAAGUGACAUUCGUUUGAGAUUGGGGGGACCAACAAUAGGCGACGGCUGCUUUCCAUUUUUAUACUGACGCUGAGGUACGAAAGCAUGGGGAGCGAACAGGAUUAGAGACCCUGGUAGUCCAUGCCCUGACCUAUGAAUAUUAAUCGUCCAUUUAGAUAGUGGAUGACUAAGCUAACGCGAAAAUAUUCCACCUGAGGACUACGGCCGCAAGGUUAAAACUCAAAGAAAUUGGCGGAAGAUCGUUUAAGCGGUGGAGUAUGUGGUUUAAUUCGAUAAUACGCGAAAAACCUUACCAAUCUUUGUGCACAUUUUCGGUUCUACAAAACUUGUAGCCCAAAUUGAGGUGGUCAAUUUGGGCUAGCUAUGUGCCAGGCGUUGCAUGGCUGUCGUAAGCUCGUGUCUUAGGAUGUGUGGUUAACUCCAUGAACGGGCGCAACCCUUGUUCCUAGUUAGAUUAGGAAUGAAAACAGUGAAAACUGCUUUUGAGGAUGAGGAGUAUGUCAAGUCAAUAUGACCUUUAUAGAUUGGGCUACACACGUACUACAACGGUAGUUACAAUGAGAAACAAUGCCGUGAGGCGGAGUAAAUCUCUAAAACCUACCCUAGUUCGGAUUAUUUUUUGAAAUAAAAAUAUGAAGCCGGAAUCGCUAGUAAUCGCAAAAAAGAAUGUUGCGGUGAAUAUUAAGACCGAUCUUAGUACACACCGCCCGUCGCGCCAUGGAAGCUUGUUUGGUUUGAAGAAUUAUAGUCACAUGUUUCGAAGUGAGUUAUUCCUUAAUAAGUUCAUGUU